rnacentral:rRNA from 1 species
GUAGGUGAACCUGCGGAAGGAUCAUUCACAAUGAGUGUUUUAUGGCACUCUUUAAAAAUCCAUAUCCACCUUGUGUGCAAUGUUUGUUGGGAGAGAGGCAACUCUUUCCCUUCACAAAUAUCAACCUAUAUCUUUAACAACAUUCGUCUGAUAACAUAUUAUGAAUAUACUUAAUUCAAAAUAUAACUUUCAACAACGGAUCUCUUGGCUCUCGCAUCGAUGAAGAACGCAGCGAAAUGCGAUACGUAAUGUGAAUUGCAGAAUUCAGUGAAUCAUCGAAUCUUUGAACGCAUAUUGCGCUCUUUGGUAUUCCGAAGAGCAUGCUUGUUUGAGUAUCAGUAAACACCUCAACCUCCUCUUGUUUUUUCAAAAGGAGGGUGGACUUGAGCUAUCCCAACAACCUUCACCGGUAGGCGGGCGGCUUGAAAUGCAGGUGCAGCUGGACUUUUAUCUGAGCUAAAAGCAUAUCUAUUUAGUCCUCGUCAAACAGGAUUAUUACUAUUGCUGCAGCUAACAUAAAGGAUAAUUGUCCUCAUUGCUGACUGAUGCAGGAUUUUACGACACUUUAUGUGUUGUUCAACUCGAUCUCAAAUCAAGUAAGACUACCCGCUGAACUUAAGCAUAUCAAUAAGCGGAGGAAAAGAAACUAACAAGGAUUCCCCUAGUAACGGCGAGUGAAGCGGGAUGAGCUCAAAUUUGAAAUCUGGCUGGUUUACUAGUCCGAGUUGUAAUUUAAAGAAGCGUUUUCGUGGCAGCCUGGGUAUAAAUCCUUUGGGAAUAUGGUAUCAUAGAGGGUGAGAAUCCCGUCUUUGACCUAGUGCAUGCUACUAUGUGAAACGUUU